rnacentral:lncRNA from 1 species
AUGUGUGUCCAUCUUGAUGUUCUGAUGUCUUGAUAGCACAUAAGUGACAAAAUGUGAUCAGAACGAAGUAAUGGGUUUUUUAAUUAAUACUGCACAUUGUUGUUCCAGGUAUCACCUAAAAUCUUCAUGCAUACAAAUGUCUCUGUUUCAGUAAUACAAAUGUAUUGAAUCUUAGAGCUGUACUGAGUCAGCUACAGGCAAUACAUGAUCAGAUUUUCUCACUCUUUGGCACUCCUUUAGAUGAGCAGGGCUCUGAUAAGGAGGAAGCAGUUGUGUGAGUCAGGCCACCAGGCUGAAUAAAAAUUUUCAAGACUUGGACUGACAUGGCAUAGCUUUAAGCUCUAAAAGUGCCUUUUUGUUUAGCUUUGAUGUAAUCUUCUCAAGCUCUGCUAAUAACAAGAAAGCCAGCCAAUGUUUUCUUCCAUGACUGCAGCCAAAAAUAACACAUAGCAUAAAAGUGCAUCUGCAAUUGAAACAGUUUUCAGCUUUAGGAACUCUAAGUGCCUGUGUCCACGUUGAAGUCUCUUGUGUAGUUAUUCAAUCUGUCUUUCCUUUGUGGACACAAAGGAUCAGUUUCCAAGUGCAUUCCCCACUGAGGAAGACACUUAGGAUGCAGCUUGUGCACACCCACCAGGUGUGAGUCACUGUGCUGACAGAUCCUCAUUUCUCUCUUGUUUUCACAGGCUUGGCAACUAAAUUAAGUUACACAAAUGCAAAUAGGCAGUGAAUGACAUCCAGCAGAUCUGACUGACCUCAUUUUCUCAUCUGCAUGACCAUGAAGUGAAAGCAACCUACAGAAAUUACUAGACUCAUGGUUGGGAAAAAAACCACAGUGAAGGCCAAAAUAAUAAUAAAAAGGAAAGCCAACCAGCCAAAUAACAACAACAAAAGAACACCAAAACCAAGAGAGCAAGAGGAGAUAUGAGAUAAAAUAUUUUUAAAGGUAUUGGA